AGGAGUCAGUGCCAGUCAAGACACAGCAUGGACAUGAGGGCCCCUGCUCAGCUCCUUAGCCUCCUGCUGCUCUGGCUGCCAGGUGACAGAUGUGCUGCUCAGGUGACCCAGAGUCCAUCCGUGGUGUCUGCACCUGUGGGAGGCACAGUCACCAUCAAUUGCCAGUCAAGUCAGAGUGUUAACAGCAACAAUUGUCUACACUGGUUUCAACAGAAACCAGGGCAACGUCCAAAGCUCCUGAUCAAUUAUGUAUCCACUUUAGCACCUGGGAUCCCUUCAAGGUUCAAGGGCAGUGGAUCUGGGAAAUCAUUCACUCUCACCAUCAGCGGGGUGCAGGCUGAUGAUGCAGGAACCUACUACUGUGAAGCGGAAUAUAGUGGUUGGAUUCCCACAGUGAUACAAGCCUGAACAAAAACCUCCCAG